rnacentral:rRNA from 1 species
ACGGCUCAGUAACRCGUCGAUAACGUUCCGUGAAGUUCGGAAUAACCUUGGGAAACUGAGGAUAAUACCGAAUAGGGAACAAAGUGCGGAAUCCUUUUGUUCCAGAAAGCUCCGGCGCUUCACGAUCGGUCGGCGGCCCAUCAGGUAGUUGGUGAGGUAAUGGCUCACCAAGCCUAAGACGGGUAGGGGCCAUGAGAGUGGUUGCCCCGAGAAGGACACUGAGAUACUGGUCCUAGCCCUAAGGGGUGCAGCAGUCGCGAAAACUUCACAAUGCACGGAAGUGUGAUGAGGGGAUUCUGAGUGCUUACGGUUUAUCCGUAGGCUUUUCGUUAGGGUAAAUACCUAGCGGAAUAAGUGGUGGGCAAGACUGGUGCCAGCCGCCGCGGUAACCCCAGCGCCACAAGUGGGAACCACGCUUAUUGGGUUUAAAGCAUCCGUAGCCGGUUCGGCAAAUGCCCUGUGAAAUCGUUGUGCUCAACACAACGGCGUGCAGGGUAGACUACCGAACUUGGGACCAGGGGAAGUAGACGGUAUUCCUGAGGGAGCGGUAAAAUGUGAUAAUCUCAGGAGGACCACCGAUGGCGAAGGCAGUCUACUAAAAUGGAUCCGACGGUGAGGGAUGAAAGCUAGGGGAGCGAUCCGGAUUAGAUACCCGAGUAGUCCUAGCCGUAAACGCUGCAUGCCAGAUGUUACACAAUCUUCGAGAUUGUGUAGUGUCGUAACGAAGGUGUUAAGCAUGCCACCUGGGAAGUACGGUCGCAAGGCUGAAACUUAAAGGAAUUGGCGGGGGAGCAC